UAUGAUUAAUGUGGCGUCGAGUAUUUAAAAUUACGUAACCCGAUGACCGAUGGAUGACCAGUGAGUUGAGUACUGCAUCGGCAACGAACUUUUAGGUUGCAGUCCUUGAGUUCGGGUGGUGGUGGUUUCCCGAGGAGCCAAACGAUGACGUGUUGGAGGUGUAAAAGGGAGAGGGGAAGACGGACGCGUGGAACGGUGCCGUUCGAUCUGUUGCGGGCGACGACAGGAGAUGCAGAGCGGGGCCGUUCCACCCGUAUCUGAAACGGCUGGGUGCUUUGUCGGAGCUCUCCGGCAGCGGACGGAACGGUUGGUGGAGAAGAUAUUUCUUCUUCUACUGGUGCAGAUGCCGGCGGCGGCGGUUACUCAGGGAGGGAGAGUGUCGGAGCAUUCUCAGGCGAAAUCCUCAUGGCUUAAAUCCUCGUCGAGCCAUGUCGUAGGCGAAACACGACGUCCCAAAUCGACGAAGGACUCCGCAAAGGAACUGGAUCAGUGGAUCGCGAAUGUGAAGAAAGGGCAGCAUCCAGAGGCGAAUACGUUAAGGAGAUUCUUGUUGAGGAGUCAAAUGUACAACCGGUUAAUAGCCCUGUGACUGUUUGUGGUGACAUCCAUGGCCAGUUUCAUGAUCUAAUGAAACUUUUUCAAACUGGAGGUCAUGUUCCUGAGACAAAUUACAUAUUCAUGGGUGACUUUGUCGAUCGUGGUUAUAACAAUCUGGAAGUUUUCACAAUUCUUUUGCUUCUGAAAGCCAGAACUUGGGACUGGAGGAUGUUGGAGUAGAGUUGGCAAAGAUUGGUGCAGUAUUGGUUGAUGAAUACUCUCGAACAUCAGUUGAUUCCAUUUGGGCUGUUGGAGAUGCUACAGAUAGAGUGAACUUGACCCCUGUUGCAUUGAUGGAAGGGAGGGGCAUUUGCUGAAACUGUGUUUGGUACUGAACCCACAAAACCAGAUUACAGAUUUGUAUCUAUAGCAUUGUAGGGGCAAUUUGUAGAUAGUGCUCUAAAAAGAAAUGAUGUCUGGUAAACUAUGGCCUGAUUAUGAUUAGUGAAACAAGCAUGUUACAAGAAGAUGAGAAUAUUUAGAAUCCCUGUAUUCUCUUGCAUAAGCAUUUUGUCAAGAUUAUCUCCACUAGCAACGUCAGCUAGCUAGU